GGCCUAAGGAAAAAAAAAUUUUUUUGAAGACAGGGUCUUGCUUGCUGUAUUACCCCGGUUGGAGUGCAGUGGCAUGAUCACGGCUCACUGCAGCCUCAACCUCCUGGGCUCAAGUGAUCCUCCCACCUCAGUCUCCAGAGUAGCUGAGACCACUGGCAUGUGCCACCACCCCUGGCUAAUUUUUAAAUGUUUUGUAGAGACAGGGCCUUGCUGUGUUACCAAAGAUGGUCUAGAACUCCUGGACUCAAGCAAUCCUCCUGCCUUGGCCCCCAUAGUACUGGGAUUACAGGCGUGAGCCCCCACACCCAGUUUCUAGAUCUAAUUUAGGUCUUGUAUUUUCUCAGGGUUCCUCUGACAUCACUCUAGGGAAGGAGGAAGGAUGGGCAGCUUGUUACAGCCAGGCAGGGGUGGAGGAAGUUUGGGUUCUGCGCUAUACCUCCUGGAGGGUGAGCGUCUCCUUUUUAUUACUAGACAUGUGGGAGUUCCAGCUCCCACUAGGCCUCCUCUGACACCACCCCAGGAAGGACGGGGAGAUGAGGCUUAAUCCACGGUGAGGGAGGAAGUUCAGGUUCUCUACCCAGUCUUUCCUGGUGGGCUUGCAGGUGGAGCCACUGUGUUUUUUGUGGUGUUUUGUUAGAAUUGAGUGGUUAUUGUCUAGAAGGUUUUGGGCCAGGCGCAGUGGCUCAUGCCUGUAACCUCAGCACUUUGGGAGGCCGAGGCAAACAUAAGGCUGGUCUCGAACUUCUGACCUCAGAUGUUCUGCCUGCUUUGGCCUCCCAAAAUGCUUGGAUUACAGAUGUGAGGCACCACACCUGGCCUCUUCUUGGUUUUCGUUUUGCUUUGUCCAUACUAUUGGCAUUUUUAGGUUGCUGCUUCUCUGGUUCCCAGUCAGAGGGAAACGAGGCAGAAAGAAGCCCAUUGCCUUGUUGUUUCUUGGGUCCGGAGAUCACGGCCCCAUUGGCCUUCCUCUCUCUGCCUUUUGGAGAGGUUUUCAGCAGUACUCAGCGGGACAAAUACGGAAAGCAUGACAUCUCAAUCUUCCCAGAAGAGAUCUCCAUUUUGAAAUUCAUCUUUGGAUCAAUUUCAAAAGACAUCCCGUUGCAUUUAUGAGACCGGUACAAACCACUCAAGAGGAAGAUGGAUGUAGCUGCCGAUUUCCAGAAGAAGAAGAAGGAGGAUGUGAACUGUGAAAUGGAAGUCGAUAGGGCUGUUGGGACUUCCUUGAAAAGAAGCAAGGAGAUAUGAGUCAUCUCACUAUCACAGCUUUCAAAAUCAAGAACACCAUCCUACAAAUACCCAGGAUUCCCCCAACACAUGUUCUUUCCUCAGUGCCAAUGAGUUGGCCUUUAAAAACACACCACUUCCUUUUUUUUUUUUUUUUUGGACAGGGUCUCACUCUGUCACCCAGGCCGGAGUGCAGUGGCACCAUCACGGCUCUCUGCAGCCUUUACCUGCAGGAGCUCACGUGAUCCUCCUGCCUCAGUCUCCUGAGUAGCUGGAACUAUAAGGAAGAACCAUCACACCUGACUAACUGUUCUGUUUUUUGUUUUGGUAGAGAAGGCAUUUCGUCAUGUUGUCCAGGCUGGUUUCAUACUCCUAGGCUCACUUUGGCCUCCCAAAGUGCUCGGAUUACAGACAUGAGCCGCCAUGCCUGGGCAAAAUAAUGCACCACUUUUAACAGAACAGACAGAUGGGGCUAGAGCUGGUGAUAAAAAAGCAUUUUCUAGAUACCACUUAACAGGCUUGAACUAGUUUUUUUGAAAUCCAAAGAAAAUCAUGGUUUAAAUUCAAUUAUGUAGGCCAGUGGUCCAACUACAAUGAUAGUCAAAAUCAGUGCAGGUUUGUGUUUUGGUGCUAAUAUGACAUAUGACAGUAAGCCACAAGGUGCAGUAAGUGCCCCAACUAAACUUCCCAUUGGUUCUGUCAUGUAACAUGACAUGCUCCACCGUCAGGGGAGUAUGAGGAGACUGCCUGUCUCUGCGGUCAAGAGCAAAAAACCUCAGGUCUGGAGGAAGUUUUGGAAAGAGUUCAAGUGUCUGCAUAUCCUGUACACCUUCUGCCUUUGUCCUGCUCCCUUUCAAGCCAGGUUAUAUUCUAAAAAUUCUUAACAUAAUAUUUUAUACAAAAGCCAAUAAAUGAACCACAC
ensembl:lncRNA